GUGUAAGGUGUGUUUCAGGAUUGAAUGGAAUUACAAGUUAGUUCUCCAAGCCGAAGGAAGCCAAAGAAUGCCAAUGUCAUUGAAGCCCAGAUCAUUAGUGAAUCAUGGUUUUGUGUAGAUGAUAUGGAAAGUGACAUAUGAAACGACUGCAGUUGAUGAAUUGUCAUUGGUAGACGUAUUCUAAUUUAGCCUCCUCGGGAUCGAUUCAUAAGGUCUGGUCGGACCGACCAGUUGAAGACGAGACAGUUUUGAAAAGUUUAACUGAAAACAUAAUUGAC